AAGUCGUAACAAGGUUUCCGUAGGUGAACCUGCGGAAGGAUCAUUACUGAUUUGCUUAAUUGCACCACAUGUGUUUUUCUUUGAAACAAACUUGCUUUGGCGGUGGGCCCAGCCUGCCGCCAGAGGUCUAAACUUGCAACCAAUUUUUUAUCAACUUGUCACACCAGAUUAUUACUAAUAGUCAAAACUUUCAACAACGGAUCUCUUGGUUCUC
rnacentral:misc_RNA from 1 species